rnacentral:tRNA from 1 species
GAGCCCGCGCGGUGAGACCACGCCAAAGUGCAAAUUUGGAGACGCACCCCAAUCGGGUGCCGGGGCUUC